CGCCCACGGCGAGACUCGAACUCGCAACAUUCAGAUUAAAAGUCUGACGCGCUAACCAAUUGCGCCACGCGGGC